GCGCAAGUUGAAAUAGAAAACUCUUAUAAGAUCGGGAUAAAUACAUCCUUUUUGUUCUACCAGAUGCGUUAGUCCUUGCUCAGCAAAAAUAUCUGGAAAUUGAAAACCAUAGAAACGGAAAAAGUCAAGAUGGAUAUACUUUACCGCCAUGAUUUUCCUUUCUUGCCAAGAAUUUACAAAGUCCGCAUGUUUUCCUUGAUCCGAUAUCCACCCAUCAAUGGUGGCAGGACGUGGUUGAGAGGAUGAGGAUGCUCCAGUAGCUCUGCGACGAUGCCUUCUUGAAUCAGCCAUGGAGGAAUUUUAAGAAAAUGACGUUUUGAGAAGGUGAAGAGAAAUGGAGAGGAUUUUAGCUCUAGAUUUGAUUUCAACAGUAUUUGGGGGCAAAGAAGUGUCUAAUAAUCGAUUAUGGGGGGCUAUUUAUAAGAAAAAUGGAAACACUAGUCAUUUAUGGCCAUUUAUAACCGUUAUGGGACGCUCCAACGGCUCUAUUUUUGAAACUGUUAGCNUGAUAAUCGAUUAUGGUUCGUGAUAAUCAAUUAUCUGCUCAAUAAUCGCUGCCCAGAAAUUGCAUGAUAAUCGAUUAUGCCUGAUGAUAAUCGAUUAUCUGUUCAAAAUUUUCCAGAUUUAAGUUUUGAGAUUGAAUAAUCGAUUAUUGCCUUGUGAUAAUCGAUUAUGAAGCGUUAAGUUUACGAAAAUGCAAAAAUUUUCAUAGGCUUU
rnacentral:lncRNA from 1 species